GUACAUGUGAUGUGAACUCAACAAAAAGAGUAAAACUAUGACAAUGUAAACGCUUGCUGAUGUA